AAGUCGUAACAAGGUCUCCGUUGGUGAACCAGCGGAGGGAUCAUUACCGAGUUGUCCUCUGUGACACUCCCUUUAUACCCCCUGUGAACAUACCGUCGUUGCCUCGGUGGGCGUGUCAUAACGCCCGCCGGUGGCCCAUUUAUACCAAAUUCUAUAAACUUGAAAAUUUGAUUCUGAAUCUAUAACAAAUUAUGUUAAAACUUUCAACAACGGAUCUCUUGGUUCUG
rnacentral:misc_RNA from 1 species